rnacentral:lncRNA from 1 species
GGAGAAUGGACGGCUCUGAAAACACCGUUUCAAUUCCCAAUGAAGAUGAGUUAGGGUUAGGGCUCCGGCCUUCGUCUCCUGCCCAGCCUGAUGUUGAGAAGCUCAACCAGGAAUUCCUGUCUCUAGUGUUGGAGCAACACGAGCCUGUUGUUGAAUCUCUCGCUUUGGAGCAACAUGAGCCUGUUGUUGAAUCUCUCGCUUUGGAGCAACAUGAGCCUGUUGUUGAAUCUCUCGCUUUGGAGGAGAGGGAGGAGGAGAAGGAGGAGGAUGAGGAGAGUGAUUCCAACGGUGAGGUGAAAGCAAGUGAUGAUGAGGAGGAGCAGUGCGAGAAUCUUGAGGACGAAUCGGCGGCCAAGGAUGACAAGAGUGCCAGGUUUCAGUAUCCGGUGAGGCCGGAUGCGGUGGACUGUUCCUUUUAU